UAUUCUUGUUUGGGAUCUCUAUAUAAAGCUCGCAUCCCAUGGCCAUAUCAUCCACCUUCAUUCCUCUUGCUUCUCUUUUGUGACCCAGGCUCUGUUGGAAAACAGAGACCCAGUCUCUGCUCUCUCUGUUUCUUCUUCACUCAGUUCUGAGUUCUCCUUAGCAAAUCAUUGUUCAGCAACUUCAUUUAGAUUUUCUCAUACUUCUCUUUAAGAUCUUCUUCUGCUUCUCUUACUAAAUCCCUCUUCCUCUCCAGUCUUCACAUCGUUUCCGUUCUAAAAAUUCCAAAACCACUUCCUUACUCUAUUCACUCUUUGUCUUCUUCUCACACCUACCAUGGCAACCGCUCCUCUAACACCCCAAAAGAAGAAAACCACUGCCCUUUCACCAACAAAGAGGGGCAAAAUCAAGGCUCGGAUUCUCGGAAACUUGGUCAAAGCUGUGCUCUCCAUGGUCAAACCCGGAGAUCAGGGAAAAAAGAUAGCCACUGAAGUUGGUGGAGGCUCUCCCUCUCCAACACCACCACUCAGUGGCUACAACUCCUAUGGCAGCCCCAAUGUUUGACAGACAUGGCUCACCACCAACAUGUCAAAACUCAACACUCUCAUUGCAAGCCUGGUUCUCUGAAUUGGGUUUUGCAGCAUAUCCUUGUUAUCUAUCGAAGCUGUUGAAUUCUGCCAUUUUGAGCCAGAUCUUCAACUUCAGCUGUGUUUUUCAGUAGGUGUCUAGACUAGAGUGUGUGUUAUUUGGUUUUUACAUGUAGAAAUCAGAUGUGGGUUUUGAUUAUGUUUCUGCAAAACUCAUUUUUGGGUCAGUCUUGCAGAACACAGUGGACCCACAUAAGCUUAUCUGAUAUGAAAAUGUCUUUUAGGUAUGUUUUUUCGAUUACAGUCUUAUAGGUAUAUUGGUCUUCCUAUUAUUGUCAGUUUUUGUUGGGACAAAAAGGAAAAAGAAAAAGGCUGCAGAAAAAAAAAAAAUCCUCUUCCAUGGUUGUUUCGGCGAGUUUUAGAGAGGAAUUACAUUUGGAAGAGGCAAUUUGUGUGUUUUAUGAGUUCUGGUUUGUAUCGUUGGUUGGAUAUAUAAAUUUAUGAUUAUGUUUUUUGGAUUCAUGCUAUUUUCAUUUAUAGAUGUUAAGAUCUUAGAAGUAUUGUGGUUGAUAGAAAUUUUGUCUUUUUAUUAUUAAUUGUAGCCGCAUCCAUUCACACACUGCAAAUAAAUUUGUACUCUAAAAUCACAAGACUUUAGGAUCUCAAAAACAAAGAGUGUUUUAUGGGCUCUCCUGUAGAAGAACACCAAGAUGCAUGUAAAUGUUGUUGGCAUUAGAUAUUCAAUGUCAUGUCAUACACUUCAAUAUAUUAUCUAACAACUUCGUUAUGGCAUGAACAAAUAUAUUUUGAACAAGAAUGAAGAGCGAAAUAAUAAGGUGUGGUAUAGAAUUGCUUAAAAUAUUUAGUUUAUUCUCAUAUCUCAACCGAAAUUGUUUUAUUUAAUUUAUUAUGGAUCUAAAGUUGUUCCCAUCUAAUGAUAGAAAUUAUAGUUUUGUGGUUGGGGGUGGCAGUCAAUGUCCAAUCACGUACUAUGAGAUAAGAAGUUGUCACAAAGAUGAUGUGAAAUUAGGACAAACAUGCAUACAUAUUCCUAAUGGGGUAGUAAAAGUGAUCCUGUAGAAUCUUGUUUAUCAUUAUUUGCUUUCAAUUAUCAGAAAAAAGAUGGUGAUGAAUUUAUUCCUGUGAGUCGGGUCAAGUCAAUGCCCUAAACUUUAUGAACAAAUGGAUAGAUCGAGCACCGACUAACCCUAUUGUAUUAUUUCUCAAUAAUGGCCGGCGGCCACAAAGUGAGAAUUAGUUGAUUAUAAGUAGGGCUGGGAUUUGGAACCGUAAAACCGAAGGAACCGCACCGAACCGCACCGAAAGUCUCGGUUCGGUUCGGUUCUACGACAUAUGUAUACACAUUUUUUUCGGUUCGGUUCCUAGAGACAUAUUCUCGGUUCGGUUCCGGUUCUUGUUUUUAAAACAUCCUUGGAACCGAAUUACAUAUGUCAGUGUAUAAGUGGACAUUAGUGGUGAGCUUAUUUCUGUAAAAUAGACCCUUUCUCAUGUGAUCGGGCCUUCCAAAUGCAAUCAGAGCCUUGCAUCUCAUCUCAUAAUAUCCUAACCGUUCGAUCAAAACCCUAUCUGACUUAUCUCUUCGACUCUUCCCGAGUUCCCUCAAACUCUCACUCUCUCAGUCUCUCGAAACACAAACGGCGGCACGGCGCUCCCUCGUCUCGUCUGUUGCUCGUCCAGUCGUCCGGUCCUCGUCGCUUCUGUUGCUCGUCCACUCGUCCUCGUCGCUCCUGUUGCUCGUCCAGUCGUCCUCGGCUCGAUUGUAAUAGAAGAUCGAAACCCAGACGACCUCCCUCGAAACCCAGACGUCCUCCGGUCUCCGCCUAGAUUGCAGGAGGGACUGGUCAGAUUGUCAGAGGAAUCUUCAUGUGUAGCAAUGCAUAAUUGCAUAUACUAAUUAGGUCUGUUUUAAACUUUUAAUUUGGCCUUGCUUUUUAGUCAAUUUGGUGUCCUGUGUUUACAAUUUAGCUAAUUUGGUCAUGUUUAUCCGGAUUGGCAGGAAAUUCUGAGGCGUCAGCUAAUUCUGAGGCUUCAGCUUCAGCUUCAGCCCCUACAACCAAGAAGAAAAGGCAAAAAAAAUGAUGCAGCUGCAAUUUAGUUUGCUGCAAAUUGAUUUAUUUGCUGCAAAUUGAUUUAGUUGUCAGUAUUUUAGUUUGCUGCAAAUUGAUGCAGCUGCAUUGUUUAAAUUGGACUAAGUUUUUAUUGUUUAUUUUUAUUUGCUGCAUGUGAGACUUUGAGUUUGCGGUUUAUGCAUGUGAAACUUUGAGUUUGUAUUGCUGGAAAUGUGUAUUAUUGCAGACUUUCAGUUUGUAGUUGUAUUGCUAGAAAGUGCUUGAGUGUUUGUGUUUGAUAGUUUGAGAGUUUUGAACUUUUGAUUGUUUGAUAGUUUAAUGCUUUCAUCACUUUCAUGCUUUGACAGUUUGGGAGUUUGCAGGAAAUUGUUAAUUUGCUAUGUUGAUGUUGAUUGUUGAAUAUGUAUAUUGUAGAUACUGUUUUGAGUUUGAAUGAGUGAAUAAAUUGUGAUA